CGCUGGCGGCGUGCCUAACACAUGCAAGUCGAGCGAGGAGAUCCUCGGGAUGAUCCUAGCGGCGGACGGGUGAGUAACACGUGGGCAACCUGCCUCAUAGAGAGGAAUAGCCUUCCGAAAGGGAGAUUAAUACCUCAUAACAUUGCAGUUUCGCAUGAAACAGCAAUUAAGGAGCAAUCCGCUAUGAGAUGGGCCCGCGGCGCAUUAGCUAGUUGGUGAGGUAACGGCUCACCCAAGGCGACGAUGCGUAGCCGACCUGAGAGGGUGAUCGGCCACAUUGGGACUGAGACACGGCCCAGACUCCUACGGGAGGCAGCAGUGGGGAAUAUUGCACAAUGGGGGAAACCCUGAUGCCAGCAACGCCGCGUGAGUGAUGACGGCCUUCGGGUUGUAAAGCUCUGUCUUCAGGGACGAUAAUGACGGUACCUGAGGAGGAAGCCACGGCUAACUACGUGCCAGCCGCCGC
rnacentral:rRNA from 1 species